UACGUAGGGGGCAAGCGUUAUCCGGAAUUACUGGGUGUAAAGGGUGAGUAGGCGGUAUAUCAAGCCAUAUGUGAAAGGCUGGGGCUCAACCCCAGGAUUGCAUAAGGAACUGAUAAACUAGAGUACAGGAGAGGUAAGCGGAAUUCCUAGUGUAGCGGUGAAAUGCGUAGAUAUUAGGAGGAACACCAGUGGCGAAGGCGGCUUACUGGACUGAAACUGACGCUGAGUCACGAAAGCGUGGGGAGCGAACAGG
rnacentral:rRNA from 1 species